rnacentral:misc_RNA from 1 species
UUGACUUUCCUUUUGAGCAUGCCAUAUCAUUUCUAAGGGAAAAAUGGAAGUCGACGAGCCCACGAAGGCUCGUGUUUUAACUGCCAAGUGAAUGCCCUAUUUGUGAACAACAAAAAAACUUAUUUAUUAUUUAUUAUUUUUUUUCUUUGUUUAUUUUUGAAAUACUUUGUGCAAUUUCUUGUUGUUAUUAUUGUUAUGUAAUAUUGUUAUUUUCAUCAUUUCAUAAAGUCCACAUUGCAUGAAGUUGGGUAUGAAAGGAUUUCAAAUGCCAGGUGCUGAUAUGUUCUGAAGGCAUUUAAGUGACGAAUGCGGGUUUAUGAGUGAUUUUGAAAAUCUCAAUAUUUGAAACUACAAUACUGAAUUUGACACAAAAAAAUGUCAGUUUGUUAUACAAAUGUUGUAUAAAGGACCAAAGAUGAAAUCAUUCUGAACAAGAAAUCACCAGAAUGUAUGCGUGUGUCAUGGCGAUUCUUAAUUCAUCUAUUUAUUAUCAUUCUCUCAUCGAUCAUGUGCCAGUCUCACUUCAUUAUAUGUAAGAUAUUAUAUUUUUGUUUUAUUUUAUUGAUUAUUUAUUUUUGCAGAAAUGCAAUUUGUGCUCAAAUUGAAAAAUGAAAAGUUUGUGGUUAAUAAAGAUACCAUGAUACUU